UUGCGUUCUGGCAGGUACUCUUUGCAUUACCACCGCCUCGUUUUAGAGUAAGCUUGACGUUGUGCAAGGCUAUGCCGUGGCAAGGAGUUCUGCCACCAUAACUUGCCAUUUCCAUCAAUGGUCCCAACACCAGUGACAGUAAGACCUCUCACAGCUUUGAACAAAAUCCAGUGCCUAAUGGUUGCCUCGAUCCAGUAUGAUCUCUUUGGAGGAGCGACCAAGAAAAGGUUACGUGCUUUGUGAGGUAUUUCUUGCCCUUCGGAAGGAGCACAAUGCUAGGAUGAGAAGAGGAACAAGCUGCAGCCCACGCCUUUGCCAAUCCCUACAAUAAGGGGAUGUGCAAACACUGUGAGCCCCAUAUCUGAGCACGUCGAAGACACUGUUUGACUUCAGAGACCUGCCUCUAUGAUCAGCUCCAUUUGUUAGAGAGACCACUUUCAUGUCUCCCUUGGCAAGAACACAGCAGAAGAACAAUACCACUAGAAUGGAUGCAGGGAAAAUGAGCACAUUGGAGGCCAUUCUUCUUAGUAUGUGCUGUUAGAUGCAGGGAUUGAUGGAUCAAGCGUUCCAUCAGGAAGACUAUUUAUAGGUGCCAAGUUGGGUUGGAAAUCUUUGGAUUUUCUCUUCUCAGGUUGCUUCUGGUUGAUUAACUAAGCUGGCAUUGUUAUUUGGGGUGUAGCAAUUGAAGAUUCUAUUGGCAUUGGAAUUGA